rnacentral:rRNA from 1 species
GAUGAACGCUGGCGGCGUGCUUAACACAUGCAAGUCGAACGGAAAGGCUCCUGCUUGCAGGGGUACUCGAGUGGCGAACGGGUGAGUAACACGUGGGUGAUCUGCCCUGCACUUCGGGAUAAGCCUGGGAAACUGGGUCUAAUACCGGAUAGGACGAUGGUUUGGAUGCCAUUGUGGAAAGUUUUUCGGUGUGGGAUGAGCUCGCGGCCUAUCAGCUUGUUGGUGGGGUAAUGGCCUACCAAGGCGUCGACGGGUAGCCGGCCUGAGAGGGUGUACGGCCACAUUGGGACUGAGAUACGGACCAGACUCCUACGGGAGGCAGCAGUGGGGAAUAUUGCACAAUGGGGGCAAGCCUGAUGCAGCGACGCCGCGUGGGGGAAGAAGGCCUUCGGGUUGUAAACUCCUUUCGUCAGGGACGAAGCGAAAGUGACGGUACCUGGAUAAGAAGCACCGGCUAACUACGUG